UCAGACGCAAGUCUCCAUCCUUGUCAAUAUACCUGUGCUUGCCUCCGCAAGGAGGCAACAUUUUUACUCUUUUUACAUUUUUCUGAAUCAAACUAAAUAAACAAAACUUUCAACAAUGGAUCUCUUGGCUCGAGCAUCGAUGAAGAACGCAGCGAAAUGCGAUAAUUAAUGUGAAUUGCAGAAUCCAGUGAAUCAUCGAGUUUUUGAACGCAUAUUGCACCCUUUGGUAUUCCGAGGGGUAUGCCUGUUUGAGCGUUAUUACACUCUCACAUUUAUGUGGUGUUGGAGUUCCCGACGGAGCCCUCAAACGCAGUGUACGCAAGCGAUAAUUUUUCUUGCAUUGUACCUCUUUAUUCUUUAACCUCAAGUCAGGCAAGAUUACCCGCUGAACUUAAGCAUAUCAAUAAGCGAAGGAAAAGAAACCAACCGGGAUUGCCCUAGUAACGGCGAGUGAAGCGGCAACAGCUCAAAUUUGAAAUCGCUUCGGCGAAUUGUAAUUUGCAGAGGAUGCUUCGGUGUAGACUAGGACCAAGUCCCUUGGAACAGGGCGUCACAGAGGGUGAGAAUCCCGUGGGUCCGCUGUCGAAACCAUGUGAAGUUCCUUCGACGAGUCGAGUUGUUUGGGAAUGCAGCUCAAAAUGGGUGGUAAAUUUCAUCUAAAGCUAAAUACGGGCUCGAGACCGAUAGCGCACAAGUAGAGUGAUCGAAAGAUGAAAAGCACUUUGGAAAGAGAGUCAAAAGUACGUGAAAUUGUUGAAGGGGAAGCGCUGUUGGUCAGCGAGAUGAACGUUCAGCCGUUCUGCGGUGUACUCGUUCUAUCUUCCAGGAUCGGUUGGGGCGCGUCGACAAAACUCGCGAAAUGUAGCCUUCGGGUGUUAUAGUCGCGGGCAAUGGGCGCGC
rnacentral:rRNA from 1 species